rnacentral:rRNA from 1 species
GUGGGGAAUCUUGCGCAAUGGGCGAAAGCCUGACGCAGCCAUGCCGCGUGAAUGAUGAAGGUCUUAGGAUUGUAAAAUUCUUUCACCGGGGACGAUAAUGACGGUACCCGGAGAAGAAGCUCCGGCUAACUUCGUGCCAGCAGCCGCGGUAAUACGAAGGGGGCUAGCGUUGCUCGGAAUUACUGGGCGUAAAGGGCGCGUAGGCGGACAGCUUAGUCAGAGGUGAAAGCCCAGGGCUCAACCUUGGAAUUGCCUUUGAUAAUGGCUGUCUUGAGUUUGGGAGAGGUGAGUGGAACUCCGAGUGUAGAGGUGAAAUUCGUAGAUAUUCGGAAGAACACCAGUGGCGAAGGCGACACACUGGCUCAUUACUGACGCUGAGGCGCGAAAGCGUGGGGAGCAAACAGGAUUAGAAACCCCUGUAGUCC